rnacentral:piRNA from 1 species
UUUAUAUGUGGCAUCUUCACUGGGC